rnacentral:misc_RNA from 1 species
UGCAGACGCCCUCUGUGAUCCUUGCCAGGCGAAAAGGGCACGACUUUCGAAGGUACAAGGGCCUCACAGUGUUCGAGGAUCCAUCACCAGGAGGCAGCAGGUUCUUGUCGACCCACGUUUUCGGCCUAGCUCGGCGGUGGUAGAGAUACGAAUUUCGGGUCCUCGUCGGGUGUCAGGACCAUGAAAGGAGUCCCCCCAACACCGGUUUAAUACAGGAGAACCUACGAUAUUCUCCUUCAGGUGGCAGCACCUCGGCGGCGAUACUCAGAUCGGGUUGCCCUCUUUUUUGGCACGUGCACAUGCAACGCGAGUGUCGCGUCCUAGGAAUCUCCCACGAGAGUGCGGCCGGAUUCCUUCGCAAUCGGAUAACCGCUUGCGAUGCCUGUCCCGCGCGAUCAACGUUAUUGACGAACCCGAACGCAGGACGAGAUAUGUACCGUGUUAAGUUCGAUUGUGAUUAAUCGUGUUUCACAUCGUGUUUCACAUCGCAUUUCACAUUUCGCCAAUGUUUCAUAUCGAUGUAUCGUGAAUGCGAGUGCUAUCAAUGGAAUCGAACCUCAACGAAGAUCAACUUUCCAAGAAAAAUGUGAUCCUUUCUUC